CUUCCUCUGCCCAUGCUUGGGCUUCUGGUGUCUACUCCAGGGUACUCGCUGAAUAGAGCCUUGUUCUCUGCCGCCAGUGAGGCAUAUGGCAAGGGCAGCCCCGUGGGCUGCUUUUAUCCCAGGAUGCCAGGAUGUCAGCCCCGGGUGCAGUACAAGCUCCCAGCUCAAUAGACUUCUCGGAAAGCAUCGAAGGAGGCCUGGAGCACAGCGGGAAGCAGGCUGCGUGCCCACCCCUGACCAUUAUGUCUAUGCCAAGAACUAUGGCAAGCCAGCAUGGCAGGACAUGCCUUUGGCCAGAGGAUCACUUUGAGUUCCAGGCCAGCUUGGUCUACAUAAUGAGUUCCAAGACAGACAGCACUCCAUAGACAGAUCCUGUCUCAAGGAAACAAGCAAGCAAGCACACAAAUACAAAAAAAGUAUGAAAGUCCAGACCACAUGAUUCUAUCUGGUACCAGGAACCCUCAAGCAGAGGCCAGAGCCAUGAGAGCAUUGCAGGAAGACUCUGGAAACAGCUUCAACACGUGCUGAGCUCACAGGCGUGUGCCACCACACCCAGCUUCAGCUUCAAGUCUUCAAGGUAAGAAAGAAAAAUCAGCACUAACUUUCCAGAGUGUAGAAGGAA
rnacentral:lncRNA from 1 species